rnacentral:rRNA from 1 species
UAAGGAAUAUUGGUCAAUGGACGCAAGUCUGAACCAGCCAUGCCGCGUGAAGGAUGAAGGUCCUCUGGAUUGUAAACUUCUUUUAUCUGGGACGAAAACGGGAUUUUUAUCUCAAUUGACGGUACCAGAGGAAUAAGCACCGGCUAACUCCGUGCCAGCAGCCGCGGUAAUACGGAGGGUGCGAGCGUUAUCCGGAUUUACUGGGUUUAAAGGGUGCGUAGGUGGGCUUAUAAGUCAGUGGUGAAAUCUCCGAGCUUAACUUGGAAACUGCCGUUGAUACUAUAGUUCUUGAAUUAUCUGGAGGUAAGCGGAAUAUGGCAUGUAGCGGUGAAAUGCUUAGAUAUGACAUAGAACACCAAUUGCGAAGGCAGCUUACUACAUAUAAAUUGACGCUGAGGCACGAAAGCGUGGGGAUCAAACA